AUUGAACGCUGGCGGCAUGCCUUACACAUGCAAGUCGAACGGUAACAGGUUAAGCUGACGAGUGGCGAACGGGUGAGUAAUGUAUCGGAACGUGCCCAGUCGUGGGGGAUAACUGCUCGAAAGAGCAGCUAAUACCGCAUACGACCUGAGGGUGAAAGCGGGGGAUCGCAAGACCUCGCGCGAUUGGAGCGGCCGAUAGCAGAUUAGGUAGUUGGUGAGGUAAAGGCUCACCAAGCCGACGAUCUGUAGCUGGUCUGAGAGGACGACCAGCCACACGGGGGCUGAGACACGGCCCAGACUCUGACGGGAGGCAGCAGUGGGGAAUGUUGGACAAUGGGCGCAAGCCUGAUUCAGCCAUGCCGCGUGCGGGAAGAAGGCCUUCGGGUUGUAAACCGCUUUUGUCAGGGAAGAAAAGGUUCUGGCUAAUACCUGGGACUCAUGACGGUACCUGAAGAAUAAGCACCGGCUAACUACGUGCCAGCCGCCGCCGUAAAAC
rnacentral:rRNA from 1 species